rnacentral:rRNA from 1 species
GGGCCCGCACAAGCGGUGGAGCAUGUGGUUUAAUUCGAUGCAACGCGAAGAACCUUACCAGGGUUUGACAUCCUGCGAAUCUUUUGGAAACGAGAGAGUGCCUUCGGGAACGCAGUGACAGGUGGUGCAUGGCUGUCGUCAGCUCGUGUCGUGAGAUGUUGGGUUAAGUCCCGCAACGAGCGCAACCCACGUCGUUAGUUGCCAGCAUUUAGUUGGGCACUCUAGCGAGACCGCCGGUGAUAAACCGGAGGAAGGUGUGGAUGACGUCAAGUCAUCAUGCCCCUUACAUCCUGGGCUACACACGUGCUACAAUGGCAGUGACAGAGGGACGCUACCAGGUGACUGGAUGCAAAUCUCAAAAAGCUGUCUCAGUUCGGAUUGUUGUCUGCAACUCGACAACAUG